ensembl:lncRNA
GCUGUGUCUCUCUCACACCUACUGUACCAGACUGCCAGCUGUGGUGGGUGGCUUUAAAGAUAGAGCUCAGAAUACAGGCUCUCAUCUUGGGAUUGACCUGCAGAGAAAUGGGUGGAGAGGGAUUCUCCAAAGGGAUGUUUGGAAAGUAAACCUACUCUGUGGAGGGGCUGGAAACGUGUGUUACCUCUGUGGCUGAUGCUGAAACCCUCUGCUUGCUGCCAGGAGCUGAACCUCCAGGUAUGACCAGAUGUAGCUGGAUGACUAGAGUAAAAAUGGCAUCAGCAAUGUCAGCUGAUGAGAUUUGAGAAGUAACCACUUCCAGUGACCUCUGGGCCAUAGCAGCAUGCAUGAACAGAGUGCCUCAAACAGUUUGUGUGGGAAGCCACUCAUAGCGUAUCUACGGGCUGUUUAAAUGGAUGGAAAUUGCAUCAUACGCAUCGGACAGAUGUCUGAGAAACCCGAAAAGGGGGAUGCAUGUCUGCAGCAGAGAGAAUGCUUUUCUUUUCUCCUUGGGUACCACUGUGUGCCAGCACCAGCAGGCAAGCUCGUGGGUCAGGCCCUGCUGCACAGGCUCUAGAGGCAGCAAGAACCUGCUGAAAAAAACAAAUCUUAAUGCCAAAAUACUCCUUAGUACUUUUCUCAUGUUCCUUUCACGAAGGCUGUGGAAAGCUUGGGGUAUUUUCCCAACUCACACCCCAACACAAAACUCUCAUUUAUCAAGUAUUUAUCUGCUGUGCUGUAACUUACUGCUCUUGUUAAAUAAUGCAUCUGAAAUGCAGGCUUGAGUGGAUCACUCUGCUGAGAGCGCUGUGCUUUUGAAAUGUGAUGGAGCUCAUCUGCCUGUCCUGGACCAAAGAGGCAGACAGGGCUGGGCUGGUUUGGGCACGGCUGCAGGUUUGUCCUCACUGUUCCUUGCUCAGGGAUAUCACUUCACAAACAGUAAAUAGGCUUCCAGUUUUUAUUUCCAAGUUUAGAUAAAAUGAUCUGUAUUUUCAUUUUCUUUUAGAAAGAAAGCAGGCUGGAGAAGCAUCCCAGAAUGGCUAGAAGCUCAUUAUAAGCUUUUUCUCUCAGAUUCAGUCCCAUUCCCAACAUUUUCCAGUUUGUUGAAGCCAAUAUAUUUGUUUUCAGCAAAUGAAUGCUUUAUGAUGACAACCCCUCUCGUGGGGAAGAUGCCUGCUGGUACCUCCUGGGGCUCAGAAGGGAAGCCUGGGAACCAUUGUUGGUUUUGAGUCCAAAACAGUGCAUUCCUGUGGUGGUAAAAUUACUUCUGUUUUAUUCUUUAUGGAUAUCAAAAUACUGAGUUCAGAGCUUCAUUUAAAACAAUAGCAUUUUGUGCAAGUAAAUAAUCUUGCUUAUGUGCAGUCUUUCUACUUACAAAGUCCAUAUUGAUUCUCCUGUCCCACUGAACAGCCCUGCUCUGCCUAAAAGGCCACUCAGGCCUGCUCAGGAUAGAUGCGAUUUAUCAACAUACUUCUCCAGCCAUAGCUGUAGUGUUUACACACAGUUCAAACAUUCAGCUCUGGCCCCUUCUCCUCAGAUGGAUGAUGUGGAAAUUUUCUGUUCUGAACUAAUUCUUCCUGUUGGCACCUACAGCACUUUUUGUUCAUGUACUUACUGAUUGAUUAGUCCGGCCUCAACAGUUCUAUGCGACCCUUCAGUCUUGCUGUUAACCUAUGCCUGUGCCCAUUCCAGACCACAUCACUCAGUACCACCUCUGCCCUUUCCCUGAGCACCUCCAGGAAUGCUGACCCCACCACCUCCCUGGGCAGCCUGUUCCAAUGCAUCACUUGUGUCUGUACUCAGUGCAGCAGGCUCUGAGCUCUGUGAGAUGCUGUUGUUCAAACAGCAUGGGUGUGCUGUCUGUGAUGUAGCUACUUGGGAUUGUUGCAGGACCCCACCAUGAGCAAGACAGCUGCAGGCAUUUUCUCUUGUCCUUUUCUCUUGUCCUUGUGAGAGGCAGGGCAGGUUGUCCCUGGUGUUACAGCGAGGGGCAGGGACCUCCCUACAGCCCUGGGCUCUGCAGGCGAGCAGGGGAUGAACAUGAGGAACUCUGCAGGCAGACCCUUCCCAGCUGCUCCCUUCUCACCAGGCAGGGCCAGUGCUCCUUAUGGACAGCCUGGGCCCACUCAGCCAUGCAGGCAGCUCCCUGGGCCUGUGCUGCAGCUCUGCUCAGCUUUAUUUUUGUUCUUCUUCCAGUAUUUGCAGUACCCAUUUAUUCCUGAGGCAUGCGAGUCUGACUAAUCCUUCAGGGGUGUCUCAGGGGAGGACCAUCCUACAGAAAAGCAUGUCUCCCUGCAGUGUGAACUCCCACCGGGUGCAUCUGGCUCUGGGACAAGGCUCAUGCAGUGCUGCGGAAGACCCAAUAUCGUAUAAUUUAGAUGCUUUCCACCCUUCCUUCCAGAAGUUGGCAAACUGCUUACCUGCCUCUAAAGCAUCCCCGUUGUUGUGACUCUGUGUCCAUCUCAGCCUCCUGUCACCAGCCUGAAAGACUGAGCUUUUUGCUGCAUGCUUCGGCAGUAGCACCUGCAGAGGUGUAACAGAUGCAGUAAGAAUUGCACCUGCUUCCACUGCUAUCAGAAGUCAAACAGCUGAUUGUUACCUCUCCAGGGGCAUUGGUGAGCUUCAGUCGUUGCUCUCCUAUUUCAAAAUCCCACCUUUAAAAAGAAAAAUAAGACACAAAAAAAGCGUAGAGCCUGGAAAGAAGCUCAAACUUUCUGUCCCCAUCUUUCUGCUUUUUUUUUCUUCCUGUGGAAUAGCAUGGAAAAGUCACCAUCACUGAGAUCUCAGAUAUCUCAGCAGUGUUACAGUGAGGGCCAGAGGAUGAGUUUGAGUGGGCUUUUGUACUUUAAGUUCUAUUGGAUGAAUGUGGAUUUGGAUGUCUAGCAUCUGCGGGGGUGCAUGGCUGCUUGGGUCAGCCCAGACGCUCGUGGGAGUCAUGGGAGUGAACAACCAGCACUUCAUCUGCAGGACCUGCCCCUGCCCUGCAGGACUGUGCUGGAGUCCCACCUCCAGUUCCAUUGCUACUGGAGCCAUUCACCCCAGGGAAAGCCCAGGGCGGGCCCUGGACAGGCACAAUUCAAUGGGAAAGGAAGCAGUACAAACAAGAAGACUGUGUUCUUGGCAGCAGCUGCCUGGAAGACGGCUGGGACGUGCAGCUAAAUAUCUGGCAGAGAAGAGGGCAUCAAAAACCAACAGGAGAGAAUAAAUGAUGUUCCAGCGGGAUGCUAGAAGUGCCACCCUAGCACAGCCCCGUUCCUGCUUACAGAUGCUUGCGAGCUGCUCCCACCCACGGCACAGGUGAGAGUACGUGCUGUGAGAGGCCAGCCUGCACGCGUGGUGGGAAACUGCACAGCAUGCCACGGCCCAAGCCCUGUUCAGAUAGGGACAACCGCAGCAGGCAGUUGUCCAGGCAGCUUCUGAAACCAGCACUGCAGCAGUUCAGGUCCUUUCCUCCUUUGGAGAGCCUAUCUAUGUUUUUAGGUAACCUGGAAGGUGUACAAGUUACAGGUGUGCCUGCGAUGUGCUGCAGGGAGAGCAUUCCAGAAAUCCUGCACCAGAGAUUGCGAGCAGAGUGAUUAUCCAUUACUAACUGUAGAGCCUUGAGUUAAGCACGUUCUCCACUUAGGAUCUUCCCAGGGAAAAUAAAGUUUCUGAGACUGAAAAGCAAUGCGUUUAGCAGUCGGAUAGUGAAGGAAGGUGGUAGAUGUCUUUGUGACAGCGUCAGCUAUUUCGGAUAGCUUUAUGUCUGCCUGCUGUCUGCUGGAUGAAACCAUAGACAGUGCGAUAGCAGCUCUGUCUGCAGUUACCACAUUUAGGCUGGAAAAAAAUAUAACCUUUUUGAUAUCUAUUGGGUCCGCAGCGUAGAUGGGCCAUUAACCUUGUGCACGCUCCUCAUCCCCUAUAGAUAAUAAUAUUUGACUAAGUCGCAGCAUUGCAGUUAAGCGAUGGCUGUACUUUGCACUGAGCUUCCUGCUCUGGCAUAUCCUCACGAGAAGCGAUUUAGGAUAACAAAGCAGCACGACUUGUUCUUCUGAGUGCACGGGAACAGAACGACAUGGGGGCUGGAACUGGAAGGGAAACACUCUCCAGGUUUCAAGUUUUCACAUUCCUUGUGAAAAUGGUGGUUUAAAAGACGUGGUAUUCUUCUGCCUAGGCGGCAAAGAGGACCCCUUAGUAAGUAAAACAAAAGGACUAUGGCCUCAUCAGAAGUGUUGUUCUGGCUGACAGUAUAGGAUAGCUUAAGGGAAAAGAAUAUAAGAAAUAUUGCACCAGCGGUUAAUUCGCUCUAUUUCCAACAAUUCAGCUAAGACAAGAGAAAGCAAAUAUAUGGGUUUAAAGAUGGUUGCUAUAGAAACUAGAGGAGAUUCUAUAGUUGCUUCUGAAAGUUACAGAGGCUCUGAUUGAUAAGACAGUUGUAUUCAAAGAGUCACUAUGGAAACCCAAGGUGACCUGGAGGAGAUGUGACUCCUCCGCUCUGCUCCUGGGGGCAGAUGAAGACAGGCAGGAGGAAGGUCUGUGUUGGUGAUAAAGCACACCACGGCAAAGUGCCACAGAGCUCACUGCGAUGCUAGAGAUGCUCAGCAUCUCACGUUUCAAACCUGUGAGAGCGCUGAUCUCUGUAGAGGUGAACCGUAGUCAUUUACUUUCCCUCUGAAGGGUUUUCUUCUCAUUGAAAUCAAUAGGAGCUCUGCUAUUGACUUCCCGAGAGCAAAGGAGAUUUUAGAAGCCUUCCUGUGACUUCAAUCUAUCAAAGCAAGGGAGCACAUUUGCAUGUCUCCCACCGAGCUCAGUGUUUAGCAGCUGCUUCUGCUUUGCAGAAAUGGGGCCAUGGAGCUGCUGAGCACUUCGGGCUUUCACUAACAAGAGCUGUGCCUGCACCACGGCCCCAGGAACUGGAAAGAAAGCAAACUGAACGUGCAAGUUUUGUUCUUGCAGAUUGGUUAUGAGAGGAAUUCUCUGGUUCCUCAGCCCCAGCCUGGAUGUACGCAUCUAAAUCAUUUAGAAAACUGUUUGAUUCACACUGUUCCCGACGUCACCCACGUGCGAACAAAUCAUACAGUUAUUCAUCAGUCUGAGAUCUUUGUCUUGCAUGAUUUCCAGUGAGAUAAAAAGAACCAGUUGGCAGUUUGAGAAAAAAAAAAACUCAUUUCUGUGAUUUCUCCAAGUUUCCAGUGCCAGCGUGCAGUCAGGAGGAAAUAAAGUGGCUGGAGAACGGCCGAGGAUGCAGGUCUGGCUGACAGGAGCAGGGCACACAGCAGCACAGGUUCCUCACAACCCUUUUAGCUGGGUUAGCUGCCAGCAUUGGCCAGAGCAGUCAGUAAACCAGUCCGGUACAACAGUGCUAAUGCCCUCUCAACUCAGCCUCGAUGUGUUUCUAAACUCCCCCUCUCCCUUGUAGAGAACCCAGCUGUGCUCGUACUGUGUGGAAUCCUUCAAACAGCAAAAAAAAAGAAAAAGAAAAAGAAAAAAAAGAACACGACAAAGUGAAUGCUGCUUCUGCUUCCACCAUCAAAGGACACAUUCAGACUUCAGGCUACUGCCACUGCUGCUGGUGGAGCCGCAGCAGCACGGAAUGGCUGCAGGCCUGGAAACAGGGAGGGUAGAUUGGAUGCACGUUAUCUUGAGCAAAGGUCCUGCUGCUUUUAAAGAUUAGCAGAAUUGUUACCUAUUACUAAAGCUGUCGAGUCAUGGCUGGAGGUGGAAAUCACUGCUCUAAUGGAGUCAUAAUAAUUCCACUACAAAGAAGGAGAGAAAGAGAAGGAAAUUUAAUAAAAGAUGUGCUCACAGGAAGAUGCAGUCUCCGGAGCUAUUUUCUGUUCUGUUUUUGUGUCUGUUGAAAGGAAACACAGAGAUGAAUAAAUAAGAACAAGUUAAGCUCUUUCAAUGGGCACAGACAAUGUAAAUGUGUGACAGAGCCUUUCAUCCUCAGCACUCCUGCCCACAUUCCUGCUUCUCAAACGGCAGUGCAGCUCAGAAAUACAUUUUAUGUUUAUUUUUUACCCAUAUAACUCAAACUCCACUCACUUCCCAGUAAGAAGUCGCAACAGAAGAGAGAACAGUGCCCUCAAGAUGACCCCUUGGCAGAUUUUCAACCUUAGGUAGCUGUUUCCAUGUUCUGGGAAAACAGAGCAGCAAAUGAG